AUUUUUUUUUAUUAAGGGUUUCGCGCCAUCACCCUCUAGAAAUCAUGUUCUUUUAUGCAAUACUAUAUGCAUAGUUGGCGUGUUGAAAUGAAUAUUUUAAUUUUAAAAUUACAAUAGUCAGUUCGUCGCGAUGGAAAAAUACGUGACGGUUCGCGGUCGCGGCAAGUUAAUAAACGCGUAAAAUCUCGCCGGAAAAACGGUUAAACCGACUGGAAAACUCGUCUGCGGUCGACAUUUUCGUAAAACGAACGAUCGCGACCCGAUACUUAACAACGUCGUCGUCGUCGUCUUAACGCGUUCC